rnacentral:rRNA from 1 species
GACGAACGCUGGCGGCGUGCUUAACACAUGCAAGUCGAACGAUGAACCUGGAGCUUGCUCCGGUGGAUUAGUGGCGAACGGGUGAGUAACACGUGAGUAACCCGCCCUUGACUCUGGGAUAACUGCGGGAAACUGUAGCUAAUACCGGACACGACUCUCGGCGGCAUCGCCAGGGGGUGGAAAGAAAUUCGGGCAAGGAUGGACUCGCGGCCUACCAGCUAGUUGGUGCGGUAACUGCUCACCAAGGCGACGACGGGUAGCCGGCCUGAGAGGGUGACCGACCACACUGGGACUGAGACACGGCCCAGACUCCUACGGGAGGCAGCAGUGGGGAAUAUUGCACAAUGGGCGCAAGCCUGAUGCAGCAACGCCGCGUGAGGGAUGACGGCCUUCGGGUUGUAAACCUCUUUUAGUAGGGAAGAAGCGAAAGUGACGGUACCUGCAGAAAAAGCACCGGCUAACUACGUGCCAGCCGCCGCCGUAA